rnacentral:lncRNA from 1 species
GUACCCGGCACAGCUACGAGCACACAGGAUCAUUCAUCAUCCAUUAAAAACAUAUUCUGAUGGCCAAUAACAUUGCGACUAACAACAGCACGAUACCCAGCAACUCCAUAAACCGUGGGAACCUUAAUAAUGUAUUCGCCAAGGCAGUUGCCGCUCAAGACGCCUUUCGCAUGUAGCAGCUUUAAACUUAAUGUAAUUUUUAAGGUUAAAACAUAGAUAUUGAUGUAAUUUUUAAAAAUGGUAACACACACAAAACAGGAAUAUAGCGUCCAGACACAGCAUACAUCACCUCGGGGGAGUCAGCGUGCACCAGGGCGAGCGGCUGCGUGUCAUUGCCGCCCGUGCAAUUAUGGCCCAGCCAGUCGUGUACGGUCACAUUGACUUUGAUGUCCGUGUUGGAGGUAUAGAAGUCCAGGCGGGCAGGACUCUGCAAAAGGGGCCAUGCAACGCAUUCCAGUCGCCCUCACAACAGGCAGACAAGCGAUCCGGGAGCGAGAAAGAAUGACGGCAAUCACGGAGUCCCAGGUUCGGUAACUGAAAGGGCGCGGAGGAUAACGGCUCGCGCUGCGGCACGAGUGCAGCAAUGCGGUUGCUGAUGGCGCGGCAUAUGCAUCAAGGACCACGGAGGCGGACAUCGGCCUGCACGCAUCACGUCCGCCAUCCGUCACGCAGUGCGAAGCCAGUAACACUCGUUACACCUCUCUGGGUAACGCAACCGAUGUGUAAAACGCGCACACACACACACACUCUCUCUCUCUCUCAUCAGCACUUCAGGGGCUCUUAUGCAAACCUCAAAAUCCGUGCGUACAUGUUCCUACAUACUGCCAAAUGGAUCUGAAGAGAUGCGAAACCAGCGAGCAUGGAACUCACCACAAGGAAAUACGGUGUCGUGGACACAUCGGGGCCCGUAUCCGCUGAGUUGUUCCAGUUGGCGCACGGUAAGUUUGUGUACGGCACGCCGUACCACGACGGAUCGACAAGAACGCUUUGAUCCAAGAUAACGGGUAGCGCGUCCAACGCAACCCAGUCCUGCUGCACAGUAGCGUCUGGAUUGCGCACCACCACUUCACCACCAGGGGUGAGGUACGCGUUCGCAGUGGCCACCGUUCCACGAUCGGCCGUCGACACAGUCGCUUCACUCGAAGCGCUCUUGGCGAACACAAAUGUAUCACUCGUAUUGACUAAGUUGCCAUUGACCGCGUACAUCGGACGUUUUGCCGUACGUACGGCACCGCCAAUAGAUGACAGUAGAGCGUCUUGGCUCGCCACGGUCAGCAGCUGGUAGGCAGGUGUAGGGCUCUUGCGCACUGGCACAGUGACCGUAAUGUCAAGAACUAUAGGGCUCGAGCCCCCGCCUUCAGCUGCUGCUGCCAUCGCAUUGUGCUGCUGCAGAGCGCUCGUGUUCUCUAGAAGGUAGCUCCUGUCGGAUGCGCACGAAGAGAUUUCCAAGACGCCUUCGUGGAGCCAGAACACUCCGCCCCCGCGACUGGUGGCAGCGUUGUCUAUGGGCGGGCAAUCGGGGGGGCCACAAAAGCGGGUCACGUAACCGAGGACGUGGCCCUUAGGCGUAGUGCGCAAGAUGCUCGACCAUUAAAUGCCGAUGGCAAGGAUGCAAAAGGAUUCUGUUCAGAGGUCAUCCGAUGACCUCUGAAGCGAGGGAUUUGGAAGCGAGGGAUUUGGCUGUCACAGCCGGGAGUCCCGGCACCUUUUGCUGGCGUUCCUGAGCCCCACCUACUACAUUUACACACACACGACCUCGGUUCGUCCUCACCAGUCAUGUUCAACAUCUCGAGGGCGACACGAUAGCAGCCCGCCUGGUCGAUGCAGUCCAGACCUUCCGCGAUGAAGAUGCCCGCACCGUCCUUGGCCGUGUUACGAAUCAUGUCCGACUCAGCCACCUGUCGCAAAGGUACGCUCGUCACAUGGAGCUUUGAGCGCCCCGACGUACAUGGACUCGUGGUUCGACGGCUGAUGGCUGCACCCACCUACCCAUAAUAAGGGCAACUCUGCCCGCAGUAUAGCCCUGCUAGGCUGUCUGCCCUUAGAGCGCAGUAAAACUAGGGGUUCAUAUGCAGACGCGGCACCUAAGGGGGUGCGGCGGGGCCGUCGAAGCAACUCGGACCAACACAAAAAACACCAAAUUGCAAAAUGUCCCCCAACGACACGUUUGUGCUACCCAAUCCUUAAGUGUUGCAGGUAGAAAUGCACAUCAAUCACACAUAGCACACCUAUCCACGGCGAUCACGACAUGUGCAAGUUUAUACAUGCCUUGAUUGCCUUGCCCGCUUGCCCGACGACGCAGAUGGCGCCGCCGCCACCGUUAUAGCAGGGAAGCGCCUUCGCUAGUGCGUGGUCUUUCUCGCGCCCGUACAGCCCAGUGUAGUUGGCAGCCAAGGGUGGCACCACGGCUUUGUUUGCCGCGAAACGGCAGUUCAAGAGGUUGACCUUUGGAAACCGUAUUACGGUACAAGGGGGAGUCGGCGCUCAUCAGUCCGAAAUGCAGUGCGAACAGCAUAUGACAUAUUGCAGGUUUCUUGCAGGCGAGUCAACAUUGGCUGACGUCGUUCGAUGGGCUUGCAGCAAAAACGGCUCCGAGUGUAGGGCUCCGAGGGAGCAUCAUGAGGACAACGAAGUAGGAGAUAGAUAUAUUACAUUGCCGCUGUACGUACCUGACCAUUUCCUUCCAUGUACACUGCGCCACCGCCGUUGGCGGUGUUGUAGAGGAAUAGGAUUGCAGGAUGAUCCUUAUACCGGAGCGACUCCGCCGUCUCGAUGGGGGUCCUGGUAACAGGAUCCACGACAGGUCGUUUCUGACCACCCACUAUCUGCGUCUCGACCUGUCUCAGGGUCAGCUCGAAGGUUGCGGACUCUGUGUCGAAUAGGUAAAGCGCGCCGCCUAUGAGCGCCGUAUUGUUGGAAAAGAGAACGCGGUACGGCAGCACUGGCUUGCCUGCUGCCAGGAUCUCCAGACCAGCCGACAAGGUAACCUCGGGUGCGACCGGUGCGAGGUUGAGGUCCGCCAGUAAAGUUUUGUAGGAAGGGAAAUAACCCUGCACGGAAAAUCCCGGAGACGAAAGCACAGCGACCGCGCCGCCUGCGCGGGGAGCAGGCAGGGGACAUCACAUCAUAUACAGCGCGGCGUCACAGCAGCUUGCGGGGCAAUACAGCUCAUCGCAUACAAGCAAGAAGCAACCUAUGCGGUAACCAAAGGCUCCGGUGCCCCAUGUUGUAAUGAACACCAAGCAACCGAGAGUUAAAUGCAGCUUCCGGCCCCUCUUUUGGGGGGCUCAGCCUCCAAUAAUAAUUGGGGGUACUGCUAUUAUACCUGUCUCACAUGGUCCCACAUGGUCUCACAACUCAAGGUGUAACACACACACGUACACACACACAUACACACACGUACACACACACGUACACACACACGUACACACACACACACGUACACACACACGUACACACACACGUACACACACACGUACACACACACACGUACACACACACGUACACACACACACACGUACACACACGCACGUACACACACGCACGUACACAGACAUGGAAAUUGUGCAUGUGCCGGGCCGUGCCAGCUGCUGCUUCGCAGCUUACCGAAUAAGGCGCUGUUCCCGACGAAUUCGGUGGAAGGAAAGAGCGUGAUGGAGGAAUAAAACGCGGACACAGCGCCACCAUAGCCGGGGUCGAUGAAGCCCAGGCUCGGAGCGCCCUCCCCGGAGGCCGCCUGCCAUCCCCUGGGAUCCACAACGGUGUUGUUGAUAAAGUGGCACGCAUCAAUGCCUGUCGCCUGAGAAAUUCUGCGGCCACAUACAGCAAGGCAGCACAGCGAGAAAGGCGACUUUGCGGAAGAGAUUCCGACUACAGGCCAUCAUGGCAUGCAGGGUACGGCAACAGCAAUGCUAAGCCGAGACGCAUGAGGAUAUCAGCCGAUAAACCCCUACAUUUGCUUUACGGAGUGAGAUUUAAAAUGCUUGUCCACGCUUCACUAGGGUUUACGGAAGCUGUUUGUCCUUCGCCAUACGGGGCACACACGGUUGGGAAGCCUGUUGGCGAAUCCCCCAGUGGUUGUGGGCUUCUGAGCCUUCCCUUUGGGUUCGCUUACUGCUGUCGAGGUGACUUGCGUUGUGGGUUUGGGGGAUGUCUGGGCUGCGUGGUCGUCAAAGGUGCAGUAAUGCGCGGCCCGCUGGCCCGCUGGCUCUACGCUCUGUGAGUCUGGAGCCCACUGUAACCACACCCACACACACAGUUGGCCUUCCUGCAGCCCUCACACAUGUCCACACACGCACCGUGACAGAGCGAUCGCGCCUCCCAUGAUGGCAGCGUUGGUGUCAAAUGUGCACGAUUCCAGAUUGAUUUGGUUGCUAUCGACGACUCGAAGUGCGCCUCCAGCAUGGCCCUUCACCUGCGAAACCCCAUCAACAAAAUCAUCGCCACCGACACCGACGCAACCAACACCGCAGGCGGCAGCAGCAGCAGCAACAGCAACAGCAACAGCAGCAACAGCAGCAGCAGCAGCAAACACCAAUCUCAACACGACGGCGGCUCAAACGUAGCCGCUGAUUCCUCUUGGCACUUGUCGGAGGUGGCCAGUGGCCCGGCGUUAUCCCCAAGCCCAACUGCCCGGGAGCUUUGCGUGCUGCCCUUAAUGGCCACUGCUUUAGCAGACACCUGCCAAACCCCCAAUCACUUCGCUCCCCUGCCUACCGUGUUCCUAGUGAAGGUGGACCCGGCGCCUGACAGGGCGGCAUUAUCAGCGAAAACAGCACCUGCAACGGGAAUUUGCAUGAGCGUACAAUAUUGGAAUCGCAUACGAGUACGGACAAAGGUCUUCACCUUUGGUUCCCUGUAACAGAGGCCUUAGCAACCCCUUGCUUUUACGACACCGAAAGCCCUGCAGGCUCAGAGGGAUAUAUAACCUUAUUGCAUCCCGCCUGCUGGCUUACCCCCUCCAAAUUGGUCAACGACAGCGACGCCUCGCGGCUUGGGGUUAACGAGCGCCUCGUUGUCAGCAAAGUUGCAAUUUUUAAUGUACCAGGCGAUGCUGUUUGCGUUGGUGUUUCCCAGGUUGUGAGCGGAGAUAGCACCGCCGUUGCGACCUGCAAAGCGAACACAGCGAGCAGAAACGAUCAUAUGCUUACGCAGGCAUAGUAUUGUUUCGCCCUUUAGCAUGAUUAGACUAAAUUACGCACCAGCUGUGUUGCCCGUGAAGUUUGAGUCCUGGAUUGUUGACUCCAGGCCGCUUGCCGAGAUUUGCAGCCAGAUUGCACCUCCGUCGAACGACUCCGCUAUGUUGCUUUCAAACCUGCGCGCAAGGCACAGGGACGAUGAAACAGACCAAAAAGCUUUAUAAUAUUUCUCAUGGUGUUAAAGUGUCAAAGCAAGUGUAGAGCAAGUGUAGUGCUUUCUCGCCUGUCAGUUGGCCUGGCGUUAAAUAACCCAAACCCAUCGCAAAAAGGUGUAAUUCUCUCAGCUGGUAUGGCAGGAACUUCAUCAGGUGAGCUGAACUUGACUAACAUGUUUCUGCACUGCAGGCGUCCUGGUCUGCAUGCGGUAGACCGGAUCGGGAUCCAGACAUCCACGCCAUCAAGGCCUACCUGCCGCUGUCCACUGCGAGCUUCCCGAAGAAUCUCAGGUACACGGCGCCUCCCCCGACAGUCGCGGAAUUCCGCGUGAAGUUUGUGGCGCUGAUGCUGAAGCCACCGUUGCCGAUGCCUUCCCCAUACAGCCCUGCGCCACCUGCAAAUGCAAAUCAACGCAUCUCUAGAUAUCACGUAAUUAAGAGGCUCGGCCUGGAGGUAGCGGAGAAGAAGCAAAACAACAGCUCUGGAACAAGGUCCGCGAUGAUGUUCGUGUGCAUCAAUUAUUGUGGCGCCGGGUGAGGACAUCGUCGUCCUUCCCCCUCGCGUGGGCUCGCCGCGUCUGCGCACGAUGUGCCUGGCCUCCCAGACCUCCGAAAGAAACCUAGUCGCAACUAGGAGGGCCUCGGCCAUAACAGUUAGCAUAUCUUAGGAAGGUGCAGUGGGGUGGGGUGGCGGGCAUGACGAGCCAUCGAAUGUCCCUUUAGUGCCAUGCUACCUAACAAACAGCCCAAACAUUAUAAUUAAAAUAAUUACAAUAAUUAUACUUAUAAUAAUAAUAAUAAUUAAUAAUAUAUAAUAAUAAUAAUAUAUAAUAAUAAUAAUAUAUAAUAAUAAUGAUAUAUAAUGGUGUAUGUUACCAUACAAUGUAAGAUACCACACGGACCGCAAGACGGCGCGAAGGGCUGCCCUGCAAAGCUUUUGGAAGGGCACCCCUGGCCAGAAGAAAGGCGGCCUGCUGUCUCUUUAAUUGUACGACAAAUGUCCGCCAAGAUACGUGGCUCAUGCGCCAGGGCACCAUCCCGCACGGGGAUGUCCGUACAGCGGUACAGUCUCAAUUUACGCGAAUAAGCAAAAAGGUGCGAUAUUACGGCGGCAGCUUUUGCCCUGGUUCUGGCAGUUGGAAAGUGAGGGACUGAGAGCCCGGAGCGUCCACACGCAGCAAGUUCACGUCUGCAACGGCCGACUGAUCGCGUGACGCGAUUAGCGGGGCAACCGUCAAGAGCAGCAACUACCUGGCUCGUGUAAUGCAACCAACCUACCAACGGCGUUAUCGCUGAUGUCGCUCUCUUCUUUCGCAUAAGUGAGCUUGUUGCCAUCGAACUCGCAGUCCUUCACGACGACCUGAUAGACGUUGCUGCAGUACAAGCCGCCAUUCAAGUUCCCUGUGAACCUGCACACAUACACGCAAUAGCGCAGUGCUCACGCUGCGUUCACCCCUUCGCCCCGUGCAACGCUUUUGCCAUGUUUUGCCCACACGGCUUGGAUGGCAUAGACAGCAUCUCAGGAAGAGUAACUCUUGCUUUUUCCGUUCCAUCGCAAACGUCACCGGCGCAUAUUGGUGGCCUAUCAAUAAUGGGAUGGAUCAGCACACCGAUGAUGGAUGGGGAUGGGGAUGGGGAUGGGCUGCAACGCCACUCAUGCACACAACAUUCUCAUGUGCGUCCUGAGGCCGCGAAGAUAGUAUCAAAGGGCUAUCCGGGCCCUCCGCCGCCUGUUCCGUUGGGCGAGUACAUCUCGGGAGUAGGGACUCUCGCCUCCUCGUGUUCGUGGCGCUCUCGCUUGACGGGCCCUCCUCUUUGCGGAUCGUCCUCUAGGACUGAGCGCGAGACUGGCCCACCUGGUUCGCUGCACCGUGACACUGAAGGCUGCGGAAAUUCGCAAAGCUCUCGCACCCGUUCCGCACUCGGCGCCCGGCUGAGACCUGCAGUCGCAGUGGUGGGUCGGGCGUGAUUAUUUUUAGUUAAGUUGUUGCGGCGAUGUUGGGUAUGAGUGGAGGCAGGGGCGAGCCCAAGGACUGGGGCUGAGGUGAGUUCAGAGGCGAGUGAGAUGGCUGGAUGCGUAGAUGCAUGACUGAUGAUGAACGGUGCUUGCCAAGUAGGGCUGCGAGCUCAGGAGCCGCCCUGCUCCUAAGGACUGACUUUAGUUGCAGCAUAGUUGAAGAAGCCUUGUUUACAGCGAAAUUAAAACUAGUUUUGUUCCAAAACGUCUGUUACCUAAUGUGAAAAUGUGAACACCCUUGGCCGUCCCGCUCGAACACCCUCAGGGAUAUUUAGAUGUUAUUCAAUGGUCCGACGUCUCAAUACUCGAAUCUGCUGGCCCCGGAAAUAAAACGCUCAUGCGGCACCACUUACAGCUCGCAGGUGUUAUCCGCGAAGGUUGUAUCCGCCACGGCCGCCUCAGUCCGGCCCGGCUGCCCAUCCGGGUUGGUGAGGGAAGGGUCGUCCAAUGCGCGGAUGUACAGGACACCCGUGGUGAUGGCAGCGUUGCCUGCAGUCAGCGCGCCAUGUCACGCCAUGUCAUGCCACACUACGUAAACCAGGCCCGGGAAGCAGGUAGAGCACUUUCGCCCCGACGGCUGAACGUUAACCGGGGAGGGCGGCUGCCAAGCUUGGUGGAUGCAUAUGCAUGUACAUGGCAGUGUGCUGCCCAUAUAGAGCAGGUAAUGACUUAAACAGACCCGUACAGACUGGCUCCGAAACCCUCCGGGCUCAUCCUUGACGAGGCAAGAAUUGAUAGUUAUUACCCUAAUAGCAGGCAGGGUGUCCUCGGCUGGCCGGCCCGGUACUGCGGAUACACCCCCUAUGCAUCAUGCGCGUUGGUAAAGGAUGUCAUAUCUGCUACAAACUGCUGUUUCACAGGGCCUGUUCGCAACCCUCUUUGGCGAAUUGAGCCUCCAUUAUCGCGCUCUGGGGCGUUAUCUGUAUGUAUGUGUGUGUACACUACAUCUUGAGUUGCGUCGCCUCCAAAGGUGUAACGGACCCACACACACGCGCCAUGAAGAGGCCCAACGUGCGUGUGGGUGGGGAUUAUAGGAGCAAGCCUGCAUACUUUGGAAAGUGCAGUUGCGGACGGUGGCCGUGUUGGGUACUUCAGUGCCAAGAGGCGUCAUCUGGAUCUUCACAGCAUGCGAUGUAUCUGCACCAGCGCCAGCGUCGACCAGCAGUGCGUAGCUCAUAUAGUCCAGGGACGGGUUGCCAAGUAUGUUGCCUGCAACAACAGAAAACAGCAGAAGCGAAAAGCUCUGUGUUAGGAUCUGCGGAAGGUUAACCGUGCCCAUGGUACCACAUCAGUCCGUCAUGAAGCAUUGAUACGGCAGCACACAGCCCCCCUGGCUGUCCAUACGAACCGACUGAAGACUCGAGGCCCUGGGAUCACAAGGGCCUGGCACAAGGCUGGUGACAAACAAUGCCUCGUACCUCGGAAUGUGCUCCCAUCGAUCAGUGCGGCGUCCCGAACCUCAUCAAGCCACACGGCGCCGGUGCUGUCCGUCACCUGUGGCCUCGAACAAAGCAGAUAAAAAGCGCAUCACCGUAGCCCUGCUUGCUCAGGUCGUGCUCUCGCACAUUCACCGCACAGGGCAGCAGCUUAAGUCCUUAAACGCCCCCAAGAAACCUGUACCAGCUAAACACCGGCGCGCCUCUCCGGUGAAACGCACCACACGUAAGCUCGUGUUCCGUAUGUGUUUCCCCGUGCUCGCAGUUGCCGAAUGAAAGCGCUAUACUGGGAAACAGGACCAGGCUGCCGUGGAACCCGCAGCGUGAGCAUCAGUCCGUUAUGGCUAGUCCAGGCAAACGCGGGUAAAUGUAACCCAACCACCCCAGCAUUCCCCAGCCACGACCCAAGACGCACCGAGCAGUCAAAAAUUUCCACCUUCCGCGCCCACCGUAGCCAAAUUGCGGGCCAGCCGCUGACGUGGCUUAUGACACUCAGCCCAGACAUGUAGAAGUCGGCGCUGUGGCGGGGCGGGCCACCAGACCACGUGCCGUUCCCGCCCGCCAUUGCCAUGAAAUCUGCAGGGCGCGGGACCCGUAGGUGGAUAGGUGCGGGCCAAGCAAGUGCAAGGUGCUUUUUCUUGUUUCGGUUACGAAGAGUAGACAACAAUCUCUUGAACGGGCGGCGGGUGGUUAGAACUCGCACCCGGGAAGAACUUUCCAUGUAUCGUCUCGAGGUUACGUUCGAUGUGAGGAAUAGGGGGACAUACCUUCACCCGUGGCCGCUACCCGGUGAAACCCUGGCCUUCCCCGGUAUUUCGGAGCACUCUCAUCUAGUGACCCUAGACAACUUGUCAGUGGUUCGCUCAGGUUUCGCAUCCACCACUGACAUCCAACGGAAUCUGCGAGAUCGACGGCCGCCUGAUUCCAUUCCUGGUCAGCUCGCAAAUUUACUUUACACCAGAGUCACCACCCUCCAUCGACUAGGGACUCUUAAUCAUACACCAUCAUAAGAUGUUUUGACCACGACAGGUUUCGAUCCCGAGAUCGCCCGGGGGCAAUGGUCGUGCCUUACCAAUAGUGCCUAAUCUGUAUGAAUGUACCUCUGUCACGUGGCGGCGUGUGACUACCGUGUUCUUCGUACAGCUCAUUCAGGUAAAAGUGGGGGGUGUAGGAGAAAGUAGAUUUGGGCUAACAGAAAAAAGCUCGGCCAAGAAAUAAACGAGACCAGAAAAAGGAUGAUGAUCAGAACACCAACGCCGCAACGCAGGCAAACGGGUCAUGUGCUACGGCGGCUCCUUAAGGAUUUGCUCACAUCUUCUAACUUAUAUCGUUCGCUGACAGAACCCCUGGACAUCGGGGUGCACCCCUCACAGGAAGGCUGGAGAAGAGCUGCAUGCAGCUCGCACCUGUGGCUGUGCUCAUCACUGCCGAGCCAUCGUUGCCGGUAAAGCUGCCGCCUGUUAUCUUCACACGCAUCAUCGCCCGGUACGCCGAUGGCAACACACCAGGCGUCGGGGAGCCCCGCUGGUGCAGCACCACGGCCCCCAACGUGCGACCGGUCACUGGGGCGCAUUCAAGCAUCGCCUUUUCCGCAGCUUUCGCCCUCUGGUUGCCCGGCGCCAAGGCGGCCUGUAGACCGUUAACCCCAUCCGGGUGAUAGCCCCGGCAGAGGACGCAGUCAGUUGUCGCUCGCACAAUGUGCCCAACUUGACACAGGUCAUCGGGAGCACACAGAGUGACAAAGAGGACAACAGGGAGUGCAGCAGGCACUAAGGAAGGUUACGGCGGCUUGGUACUAACCAGGAAAUGCCCCGACCACCCGGCGACCCCCCGCAUCACGGCAUGGCACGCUUUCCCCUUCCACCUCCUUCCACCGAUGACCUGGACAUCGUGUGUGUGUGUGUGUAUAUGUGUGUGUUGCAUAUGUGUGUUCGUGUUACAAACUACAAUCGACGGGCAUUGCCGGCCGUCGCCACCGCCAGCCUGGACGAAGAAGGGUCCAUACCUGCUCCUUGAAGGCCUUCGCAAGUGGGUAGGUGUACGUGAGCCAAGGCAAGUGGCUCAGCAUCUGCGCGACACCAACGAGGUCAUAGUCAUAGUUUAAGCUUGCGCAAAAGUCAACUGCUCCUCCAGAGGGCUGUUGCGGCGGUGCAGCUGCUUCUGCAUCUUCUUCUCCUGCUUCUGCAGCACCGGUGGCAUCUGGUUGGCUCUGCUGCUCUCCUUGGUCCGAGCUGCCUGGACUGCCAACCGCUGCUGAUUCGAUUGGCGCAGCCGCGUCGGUCGUGCUUCCAUAGAGAGGUGCGACACUUUGGAACGCGGCCUCGGUAGUACCCAUUGCCGCGGACAUCACUGACCCGUCCAUUGGUGGUGCCGGCUGAUCCUGAGCUUCUGUGGGCGCCAGCAGCGCCUGCUGCCACAGGAGCUUGUUGUUGGUGAGAUCGGUGUUGUCCAGGCUCACGUCACAGGCUGCUGCGCCAUCGCACAACACGUACAGGGCUCCAGUCGCAACGCCUGCAUGCACACAGGGCGGCCAGUCACACAGCCGGAGACCAGAAGGCGAGGGAGGAAACCACACGGCCCGUAAGCGACCCUCCUCGUGUAGCGGCGUCAUGAGGCCUAAGGUAAACCGGAAGCGCCUUGGUAAAGGCAUGUGUACCCGUCCUUAAUGUUAGAGUCACAAACACCAUUUGAAGCAAAGCGUCAGGCCACCAGCCAAACCAUCAAUGUAUUUUCACAAUAUGCAAGCAGCACUAACAACACUGCCAGGCGAGCGCACCUGUAUUGUUGGCAAAGGUCGUAUCCGCAAGAGUGAUGUUGCAACCCUGCCUCCGGCACACAACGGCCACAACCGUCUCCAUAUCAUCGGCCCAGGGCCCCGUCUGCACCGAAUCCGCAUUGUGCACAGAUACAUGAUUAGUGAGCAGUGUAGUGCAGUUGUCGUGUUGAGCAGUCCUAAUACCACCGCACAGCAUAGCGCCACGACACCACACCACACCACACCACACCACGUUGAAACGCUUUACAACCAAUCCGACAAAGGAGAAGCGGGUGAUGAGCUGACGGUCAGCCAUCGCAGCAAGGAGCAGCAUCAGCAUCGGCACCUGCAGAAAGGGCAAAGACUACCCUACCUGCACCCCAGGAUGCUUGAGCAUGGCGCGCUCCAGCAGCUGCAUUGAAUACUGGGCAUCCAGCAGCCGGCGGGCCCGAGAAGAUGAGGCACGGCUAGGCACUUCUGCGAGCAAACCCCAGGGACUCAUCCCGCCCAUUUCACCCGCGCUGAACUGGCCCACUGCUGCUAGUAAUCGCCUGUGCCGCUCAGCCGCGGGCCGCAAGGGUAGCGUGCCUCCUGGGAUGGUCGUCUGCAAUUGGCGACGGCUCCUGAGGACCCAUUGAAUGCUGCCAUCUGGGUGAACAGAAGGGGUCGUCGUAAUAUUCACUGUCAGCAACAGCAGGAGAAAAAUCAGGAACGAGGUAAAACAAGCAAGAGCUAUCGAAGCGGUAGGUGUUGCGCACGGGGUCGAGUGGUGCUCUUGUGGCAGGCAGCUUGCAGAUGUCUGGUCUGCUUAUUAUACGCGCUGGGGCUACCCCGCGCAACCACACGGCCGAGAAGUUGGGAAUGUACUUAUUUGCUUGGAUGCUCGUCGUGCCAUCGGUCGAUACGGCUCAGAUGGCUAACAUCUUCGCAUUUAUUCGAAAUGCGCGCGUAACGGGUGUGAUGGAAGAAGUUUGUAAGGACUCACGAGCCAUGACAUUGCGGGCGCGAUUUGACUAAAAGGCAAGAAGAGAGGUCCUGGGGGUUUUUAACGCAUCCCUGACACUCGAAAAACUUAUGGCUAGACCAUGCGAAGCCUAGGACAGCCACAGGACUAUCUGGGUGGGUGCGGUUUAUGCAUGGUCGAAAGGAGGUUAAGUCGCGGACUAGAGGAGAUGGGAGUGAAAGGCAGGCGGGGUUCAUGGCGCCCCUGCCAGCACGGGCGGAGGGAUGGCCCCAACGGCGCGCAUGAAUGCGGGCUCCUGCUCGUUGGACGGCUUCGUGUGGCUAAGAAGGAAACAGCCGCCGAAUUCAUGAGAUCCUCGCCUGGGAUUAUAAGAUGAAUAACAGGCCGAUAGGCCGCGCUAACUGGUCGCGAAUUGCACUGGGAACGAGGCCAACAACAGAUUCAAGUACGUCGAUCGCCCAGGGUUCGUGGGUCGCGCUUAACUGAUGUUAUUGAUACAAAGGUUAACGCAGGGGCCGAAUCCUGAAUCCAACGCUUGCGAUGCGUAACGUGCAACAGUCAAUUGCUGCGACUUAGCUUCAACAAUAGGCAAACCCUUACCCAGCGUGUCGUACAAGCGCCUGAGACGCGACUUCUGAGAGAAAGCAUUGUUUAGGAAGCGGCUAUUGCGGAUUGUCAAGCUUCCGGAAAAGUCGCCAGCAUGGACGGCGAGCGCCGCGGUAGAUGGCGUGAUGCUUGCGGGCGACUCAGGUUUCGAACCGUCGACACGACCCGAAUCCUGCAUGUGGAAAUGCAUUAAGCAGUCCAUUAAGGGCUGCGCACACUAACCAAACAGGACGUUGUGGUAUGCCAACGUACCAAUGCACGGGUAAAAUUCUGGAACACGCAGUCUUCAAUCGUGACGCUUGCAUUUAACGACGAAUCAAGUCGAAUUCCAGUGCAUCCGCAGUCCUGCAGUUGCAAGCCUGAGAGGUGCAGACGGCUCCCGCUGAACUCAAUGAGGCUCGCCAUGUCUCCCGCUCCACAUCGCAAUAUGGAUCCCGGUCCAGCGUCAUCAGACGAAGUUCCUCGUAAAGUUGCUGAUAUAGGAAUUUUCAGUGGUCUGUUGAGGACCAAGGUACGCCGAGGAAGAUUGAGCACAACCGAACUAAUGCCACUGGCUUCUGAGAAAAACUUAUAUAUUUCAUCUUCGUCAUCAACAUUGAUAAAAAAAGGUUUUGCAGGGUCGUCUGAUAGUACCCGUCGAACUGAGCUGACUCCUUGCUGCCCUGUUAGCUCUUCCUGCGCCACGCUAGUCGUCCAAAGGAAAAACGAUAUGGUAGCAAGCCACAAGGUAGCACCAAACGACCAAGACCCAAUGGCCUUCGUAAGACCCCGUCGCUGCAUCCGGGAGGGCGGUUGGAAAGGCAUUCCGUUUCCUUUCCCUUAAAUUUACCUAGGCUCCUAUUCCAUAUCUGUAUUAUUACAGAGGCUUAAAAUGUUAUGAUUGUCCACUUCCUGUAGUUGGUGCACGGUAAUAAUAGUAACAACGCUUGCAAAGCCGAGAGGAUUACGCCUAGCCAACAAUUUCGUCUGGCGUAGGUUAUCCUGUCAUCAGUGAUUCAGGCAGACAAUUGCCUCCGUCGUCGUAUGAGUGCGUAUACGGCAGCUACCCGCACAACAGUACAAAGUGAGUUCCCUAACCAAGUCCUUUGCAAAAACGUUAUAUUUGCUUCACUAUAGAUUUUUAUGUCACUUCGUGGCACUUCUGAGAGCGGGGAAGUCUGGAUUUUGUCGCUGCGAUGUGGUGCUUCAUACGCAUUACUUUAAGACUACAUAUGCAUCCGUAACUAGAAUGUAUUACUCGAUAUAAAGAAGUAGGUCUUGCAAUAUGUCCGCUGAGCAGUUCGACUGCCAGCGUCAUUUUUCGUAUGACAACCGUAGCCAACACCAAAGAACGGAUGGGGAGUGUAUGCUGUAUGAUAUGUUCAAGAAAUCUCUUCAAAGGUUCAUUUGAACUGAACGCUGUGGCCAUUAUGGUUACGUACGAUUUUGCGACGCUACUAACAGCAAGGUCACUCAUGGACAAAUUGCUCGUCAGGAAGUCCAAGGGGUUGCAGCAAAUUCAUACCAAAGCUUUUUUUAUAUUCUUUGCAGAGAGCUAUCAUCUCUGUCAUAGGCGGCGUUGCUAUGUUAUUAUGUGCACCGAGCGGCACUGAACCUCCCACGCCAGUGUCAGAUCCCUUUGUGAUUUUGGGGAAUUUUUGUAGGCUUCAGAUUCCUACCUUGCGGCAGUUCUAAGCUGCUGAACCCAUUGGGGUAUGGCUAGGUAACAAGGCUCGGGAACGCUGCUGCAGCGGUCGUAACUUCAGAUAACUUCUUAGGUCCGUUUUGCAGGAAUACCUUCAUCAAACUGGUUUGAUAUUAAGAAGAAGUUAACUCCCCCUAUACUAUAAGUCACUUGCAAAGACGUCUUUCGAUGCACUACAUUUUAAGGUGGGAGUAUUUUCCUUCCUUUUGCGUCUCCUUGCAUCCCUGGCCGCCUGAGUAUACAGGCGCAUCACAAUAGGACAAUCCGACCAUCGCUAUGUCCAUGGAAAAACAAAGCAUCUACAAGAUAGCGCCUCGUUCAUGGUCAAAAUGGAAAGGCAAUAUGGUAGCGUUUCAUUGUAAAAGUUUCAACGAUGCACACGGAUUGGCCCGAGUUGAUCUUGACGUCUAUUUUCUGCAUACGCGGCGAUUGCAGCGCAAGCCCAGAGUCGACUAUUUGCAUCUUCCUGCUUUUUUUGUCGUAGUUGGGAUCCUAAUCGAGCCUGUACAGCCAUAUAUUCCGCAAAGUAUAGCCGCUCAUGGCAGCCCACGUGCGAAUCGAAGCUACUCGACUGGGAGCAUCUGGGCUCUACCAAUGCUACACAGAAAAGGGUCCUAAAACGGCGCACAGGAGAAAACGGCGCGUUGCAUCGGCUGCGGCACAUCUACACGAUGGCGACCUCGUUCUUAAGGGACUCAGCAUGCGCACCGUUGUGACUGAGGCGCCCACCCUGGCAUUGGCCAGGUACCUCUCGGAAAUCUGGGAGGCCAGGCGCGUCGCGCUGAGGCGCUUCGCUUCGCCCUGAAGCGGACGAGAGAGGAGGAGGAUGGCCCCCCGCGUACCCGCAUCAAUACCAAUAUAACGUCCAUGGGCCCCCCGGCUUUUAAGGACAACCCCGCACAUGCGUGCGGAACUUGUAACUUGUAACUCUACAGCCCAAUUCACAAUGGUUCUUGCCAAUAGCUCGUCGUAGCAUAUGCAAUUCGCUGCGUUAUAUUACAUGAGCUGGCCGGGCUUGCUCUAUCCUGUCCUGACCUAACGGCAAGACCGCCGAAGCACCUUCCAACACACGGGAGAGGGACUAACCACACGCGCGGGACUAAUGGGGCGCCGCAGCGUCGGGGAUUGGAAACCCGUCUGAAACACUCCAAGGUAAAAAGGCAAAGCACCCAUCCGGUCUGCCUCUCCAAAAGCGCCGCGCAAGGGGCACACAUAAGCCAGGGUAUCCCCGCUUCCCAUGCACACGCUAAAGCAGUCACCAAGCGGUCCACCUGGGCGACUGGCAGGGUUCGUAUGCUAGGAAGCGCCACACACCACGCAUCACCGUCCCCGUCCCUGCUCAUCUCGAUAAGUUUCCAGGGGAAUCACGCAGGGCCUCACCGCUUUGGGCACGUAAUCCUGCAAGCCAUGAACCCAGCUCCUCUAGCCCAUGUAGUGUAGUGGACGCAUCGGCACCAGAGACCACUGAAGUAUACGUUAGCAGUUAAGGCAGAGGAAAGAAGGGCAAAAUGGCAGCACGGGUGUACCGCAAAGCUGUUCCUGUCUGCCUCCUUGCUGGGGCGCGGCCAUCUACCUGCACGCCAGACGCACUUAAGACCAGCCGUCGCCCGUGCUGUCUAGUCACCUUGAGUUUAAUGAGGACAUUAUCAGCUACGGGUGAGGCUUCUCCUUGCCUUGGCCAGCGAUCUCUAGCAUGCUUGGCCGAUCUAGUGUUUGUUGUCCCUGAUACGUAAUUUUGUGGUGGGCACUUGUAAGCUUUUGAGCUGCUUUCGUGGUAGUACACAUUGAUGAGCCGUUCAGAUCCUCUGUUACGGUACCUGAAGUCGCGAACACAACAGCAAGUUCAAUGGCUGAGCGGUUUCCAGCUACGCGGUAUUGAUGGCCUGUUGCUGUGGGCCAGAUCCUCCUACUACAUGUUCCAUAUUAGAAUGGGGCGAGCGCACCCGGGCCGCUCUGGAUGAACACUGUCGUUCACGUUACCGUGAGAUCGGCAAUUGGAUCGCUUGGGAGCUGGGGGCCAGGCUGCAUCGUUGAAACUUGACGUGGCUGAUGGGGACGAAAGGCGCAGAAGCAGCGCACAUGACCGAAUUUCAAACAUCAAAACCCAAGCGCUCUGGUCCGGAUGCUCGCUCGCCCUUAACUUCAUCAAUAGGACGACACCACCCAUGGGUCGUCACCACGCGCAAGAGGUUUCAGUGCUUCCCUUGUUCAUCAGAAAGAUGACGCGCAACAUCAAAGAUGUGUUGCAAAGGAGAACACGCAGUGCUCGUGUAAAGUAGUGAAACCCCGCUGCAUCACACACAGCAGCCAGGAAGUGCGUCCCACAUCCGAUCACCUGCUAUGUGGGAAGUGCGACAGCUAUUCCAGCCUGUGCACACCAGCCUAAAGCUACCCGGACACAUUUACCGCAUACACCUCGUGGCCCCGUGUGUCGCUCAGCGGAUGGGCCUUCCUGGCAUCGUUCCGACAUCAAAUGCCAUGCAUCAAUGCUCAGCGGCGGUACGUCUUCAACUUCCUGAGAGAGCCUUGAGUAGCAGGAACAAUGGAAUGUCCCAGCCCUGCCCUAACAUGUCUUGGCCCUUUACCACCAUCACAACGCCGGACGCAAGGCCGGAAACAGGGCAGUGACGGACAAAUAACGCGACGUUCCUUACGUCCUGACCAGCUGCUGCCUACCCUCAGCUCGACACGCAUUCCAUUGAACUACUUCCACUUCUGGUUCAAGGACGUUUGUUUCGCCAUGUACUGGAGGACAACAGCUCCACCGGCCAACCCGAGGAGGGCUGCAAGCAGUAACGCGUAGUUGAAGUCGUCCUCCAAAGAAUCAAAGCCCUUGGCCGGAGCCAGCCGCGUGUAGAACAUAUCGACUCCGUGCACGAAGAGGAGGCAGGUGGACUCGAGCCUCGUGGGCUCCACGUUGACACCCCUGAUGCCGAGCACUUGCUUAUCCAAGGUGGUGAAGCUUAACGGCGACAGCGGAAGGGUGUCCUACGGAAGCAUCAGCACACGCACAUGUGAAGCUGCAGUAAUCAGUAAAACGGAACCAUGGCCAGCAUUGCUCAACGCCUUGCCCAACUUAGGGUUCGUACAGAGAUGGGCGGGUAACAAAUCGUUGAAAGGGCGCGUAACAGAUCGUCAGGCCGGUGUGUGAUAUUGUAGGAGCGGCGAAGGGAAAAAGGGUUGCAAUGCGUUCGCGCCCUACCUGAUACGGAACGAGGCCUUCCUCCGCUUCAUCCUGACUCAGCUUUUGCUUCUUUGGCCGGCGAGGGUCCACCCAUCGCUUAUCCAGCGCGUACACCUGUACACACAUACGUACAUACAUGCACACGCCUCAAUACUGCAAACAAUUGCGUGUCCGAACACACCAGGCCUUAAGGAUUAGUCAGCAGAAAGUACGCAAAAAGGAGCGCGUGCUGUGCACCGCCGCACACAUCGCGUGCUUACUCCUCAACAUGAAGCCCCCCCGGUGGUGUGACUCGCCUGAUCCGUGUUCGUGACGAGCAGGAGCUGCUUGGCAGUAAUUCCCUGCUCAGUUCGCGUGACAGCUGCAGCAGUAGGCACCAAGCGGGAAAAGAACGACUGGGUCUGGACCUCCACGGGCGUUGGGUUGAAGGAUGACACGGGCCGGGUGCUGUUGGGGUUGAAAAGGUAGUCCAGCACGCUAAACUCGCGGCCUGCUGUGGCGUCGUAGAGCUCCAUCGACGUCGCCACAUACCUGCGGAGCUCAACAGUUAGCAAAGAAAAUAGAGACUACAUCACCGUGCAGGGUGACGAUAGGCCGUCGGUGACUUAUAAUGUCGCUGAACAACCCGAGGGACACAACAUUCCUUUGGGAGUUGAUACCGCAUACCGGUUCACUCGCCAGCUACCAUUGGGGCGGCAGCUAUGAUGCAGUAUAGGAAAAUGGGAGGGGACGUGAAAGUGGGGCAGGUGGCAGCUUGAGAACAAGCUGCUUGGGAUGGAGCUUAAAGCCUGCAGAUGCGAUGCCGCGCGUUUGGGACGCCAGUCAAAAACUAUCAUUUCCCGUUGCAGGGCAGCAUUCGCGUACCGGCCAUUGAUGAAAUUGAAUUAUAACAACAGCCUAAAUGGAUUUUCAUCAGCGCGCAGAAACGCAGCGCGGAGCUCUCACAGAGCCAUCGAGCUGAAAAAAUGAUGAAUACAAGGCGAGCAGCUGGCGUGUUCCUUCACGCAUCGCAUGUUCCCUGCCACAACGACGCACCUUCCCGACUCGAUGUCUCGGAAGAAAUAUAGCACCAUAUUCUCCGUCAAGACCGCCGUCACGGGACCCCGUGCUCCCGGGUGGGACUGCCGGUGCAGGACACGGCCCGUCACCGUAUCGACCAGGUGCACCGUAACCUCACUGGAAAGGCCGUCGUCAUUGGCUGACCCAGAGCCCGCCAGCGCACCAUCCGCUGGGCCGGUGGCUACGAAGAGCAAGUUGGGGUUGAGGUACUUGUACUUGAUGGUCCGGUCCGAAAGCACCUGGCAUGUGCACACAUGCGGCAAUUGUUAUUGACGAUAAGCCCGUUGCCGUGCUGCAUGCCAUUGGAACUGCACGCUACGACGCGCAUGAAGGAAAGCACACCUAUGGACGUUAUUUAGCACUGCGAGGCGCCGCGACUACACAGAAAGCAUAGCGGUGCGCUGCCAUCACACAAGGAAGGAUUAGCAAAGAACAGGCACACAGUGAUGCGCGCUCGUAGGUUACGCAACCGGAGGUAUGCCUUCUCACACCACCAUCAUCACCAUCACCACAAAGGAGUGACCGUUGCAGUGCGUUGGGAUUACGCACCGUAACGUGCCGUAAAAACCGUCGUACCCCGUCCUCACCUUCACGGACGAUUGGAUGGGCUCCGUGGGGUCCCUGAACGCAAUUGCCAAGAUGCUGUCCGGGAAGUUUACCUGCCAUGAUUGCACGGCAGGUACCUGAGCUGAGCCAUCAGACAUCGAGGCCAAGCGGUAGCCUGUGAGCGUCAUGGGCUCCUGGCCCUGCGUGAAGAAAUGUAGCGACCAUUCCGAAGCCGCUACGUGCCGCCGGCUUGCCGCUGAAUCGGGUAGCAGGUGCAGCACAGGCGCGCCGUCAGCGGCCCCCUCAGCAGCCUUCUCCACGAGCAGGUACACGCUCUGAACGGCGGACCCCUCGUGCAUGGGCGCGUGCAGGGGAACGACCUUGGCGACGCCGUAGGCCAAGGGCAUGUGGAAGAGCUGCUCGCCGGUGUGCGCAUUCAGAACGGCCACGUAGGCACCAGGCUGCGCCUCCCGCAGCAGCAGCACCUCCGGAGAGUGCUGAAUGUCGUGGUAGCCGCGCCAUGGCAGCAAGCGGGUCGGCAUGGACUGGCUGUCGAAGGACCUCGACCACAGCAGCCGGCCGUCGCCAUUGUGCAGCGCCGCCAACUUGCCUGCAGCGGGGAGCACGUAGCGGCAUAACAAAUUCAAAUCGCAGCCACAAUAGCGCUACCAGCGCCACAGCAUUUAUCUACAUUAUAUACACCGAACCUUCCUCACAGCGCGCUCAGCAGGUUGCAGCACCCGCAGGCCACGCCAGCAGCACGGCCUGCAUGCAAAGGCCAGUCGGCACGACCUACCUGAAGAGGUUAACGCCAGGAGCAGCUUCCGGAAGCCGUUCACGUCGCGAACCGGCGUGUUCUUGUCCGAGAGAGCGCUUCGAAGCUGCAGGAACUCCGCCGCCUCUGUCGGAGUGUUCAACUUGAGCUGCACCUUCGCUCCCAACACCUGGUACCUGUUGUGCCGUACAGGGUUCAUAAUAAAGUCGUCAACGGGUCCGUGCGCCUUCGCCAGUGAGGGAACCGAGUAUUACAGGUCGCCUGGUCACGUGGUAAGCCACCAGCCAUCAAGGACAGGAAACAUGAUGUAGGGGACGCCAGGUCAAUCGUAUUACCGCACAGGGGCUGGCUUGCGAAUUUAAAACCGUGCUUAAGUUGAUAAACUUUAAGAUUGUGGUAAACGCAGACCCCUUUUGGAUCUUGAUAGCCUUUCAGGACAUCGGUGCUGCGGUACACUGCGGAUGCAUUGACGCACAUGACGCCACAUGGCCCGGCUGCAGGUACAGGGAUGCAAGAUGCAGGCCGGCUGCAGUGCCAUGCGUGUUGUUGUAACACGCCACGCAAGGCUGAGAGCCAGAAAAAGGUGGAAAACCUAUGGGUGCACAUACUGCAUAUGGAAUGGAUUCGGCCGCACCAAGAGAUCACCACACACACACCUCAGCCGCGUCUGGAAAUCGACCUUCACUCCUCCCGCGGCCUGCAGCGCUGAGCCGUUGGCUUGCCUCGCAGGAAGGUCGACAAAGAGCGUGUCCUUGAUGGUGGACAAGCUCUCAUCGCGCGUCCACACAAUGACGCCCUGCUGGAGCAACACGGUCAGGCCGCUGCUGAAGGACACCAACGCCCUGCAUGACGUGUGUGGUUACAGGGGAAUAGGAAAAUGGUUAUUUUGUUAUGCAAAUACUGUGUCUACAGCAGUGUUUUGUGUUUUCAUAAACUCAAGGGAGGAGAGGGAAAUGCUGACGAUGGUACAUGAGCAACAGUGAGUAUCUGUAUGCAUGCAUGCAUGUAUGCAUGUAUGUAUGCAUGUAUGUAUGCAUGUAUGCAUGUAUGCAUGUAUGCAUGUAUGUAUGUAUGUAUGUAUGUAUGUAUGUAUGUAUGUAUGUAUGUAUGUAUGUAUGUAUGUGGGGUGCAGACGCACGCCAAUAACAAUAGCCCCCAGAAGGUCCUGAUACAGCGCUGUAUGCUUUCCAAGAAACCUCCCUUUGCCCGCAGACGAUACUUGGGCGGCAAGACGACGUCUACAAAGUCGACACCCUGCCAUACAGCAGGCCCCGAUCAGGUAUCCCCUCACGAACAGUGUGCCGUACUGCGACGCGUCAUGAAAGCGCUUUCCCAACAGUGCAGUACCGUACCUGUACCCCGUCGCCUUGUCCUUCUUGCGAGUGAACGUGCCGAGCACCAGCCCGGUGGGGGACAACACUGGCACCGCGCCAACCACACGUUCGCUGCUGGCAGGCGCUGGAAACGAUUCCUCCUGGAGAGUCUCGCCGCUGCUGGACUGUACAAUCGUCAGCUUCAGGCCGCCGCCUACAUAGCGAGGGGAUGCAGAGGCGGCAAAGCGAACUGCUGGCUCGAGCAUCCACACCCGCGCACGAAUGAAAGAUUGAGGUUUCUGUUAACAAAAGCCGUUCGGUCCUUGAACCCACCACCCACCAGCCGCAGACACCUCCAGGACGCCGAAGGCUGCGUCGCUGUCCGACCGGAUCUCUGAAGACACGGCGACAGCCCCCGGGAAGUACUUGACCAGCCGCAGGCCGCCGUUCGCCACAUCCACCGCAAGCAGCGCAGCGCCAGGGUUACCUGUCGGCAUGGACACGGCAAAAGCCGCCGCGACAGUCUGAGCACCUGUUCCACUCCGGUCUCCCUUCCUGGCCCCCGAAAACCCGCCCUGAUUGCUUCCUAGGGGGCCAGCGCGGACUCCUAAUGCCCGUGUCCACGCCAUAAGAUUUUCCAAAACGUACACCGCCCGCAGCUUGCAUGGUUAUCAAAGUGAUUCAGCUUAACAUGGAUCAUCGAAUCGUGUCUGUAUCUGUACAACCCGGAAAUGCUAACAGAGGCCCAUGGCCAGCUGCCAUGCAUGUGAACAUCACAUACGUGCCAACACAUGGUCAAGACCCGCCUCCUGCAUAGCCACCUAGACACAUCCAUACGGUGGCGGCUUCCAGGACUUGGGAGGCUUACUGGGGUUCGUACUGAAGAUGACGUGGCCGCUGUAGGUGCUCGCGAUUUCAAGGGAACUUUCAGGACCCGCCUGCAGCUCCGGAACCAACUCCGACAGCGACGUGCACGUCAUGUGGACGGGCGAGUCCACACCUGCCGUGUCAAAAAGCGCCGGCAAUGACCCGACAAGAGGCAGUGAAGGGAGGGAAGGCACAGCAGGUGAGCACUCCGGGCCCCCCCCCUGGCAUCGCCACAGGUACCACUAGGCACAUCCGGAAGCGUCCAGGCUGCUGUGGACUUCGCAUAACCAGCGUGCUCGAGACAUCCAGAAUCCGAGACCAACAAUCUGCUCGCCUGCUUGGGCUUUUUAGUCAUCGUACGCGAUCAUACGCAGUCGCACAGGAGCCUACACCUUCCCUUUCUCGGUAAUCAGGUGCAGCUUCUCUAUCAGGCGAUGAUUAUGGUGAGGACUGAGGAGCCGCGGUGGCGACUCCCCUUCAUGCGACGCGGACGAUGCCUAUAUUCCAAGGACAAUUGGCCUCACCCACGCCUUUUUCGAUGGCUGUUUCCCAUAUCGGCUUUCUCACCACGGAUGUCCGCAGUACAAAGCGCCAUGCCGUCGGAAGACAGCGCCGCAAGCGUGUCCGUUGAUAUCGAAAGCCUGUUCGACAAACUGAACGGCGACACAGCAUCCCGCUUGCUGCCCACUUGGCCCUUGCCAGCGUCUUUAAUAUCGACUAGAACCGCUUGCUUUGACCUGUGAGACGGGAGCAAUGCGCGCAUUGCAUUAUAUGAGGGCCCAACGGCUAACGUGGGCGCGGGCGAUAGAGCGCCGUCGUCCCUUCCCCAUUUGGUUUCCCUUUCGGGAUGACAGGGGACGAACUCACACCGUCCCUUGCCACCUCUGGUCUAGGUCCCCGUACGGUUUAGUCCCCAAGUGUUUCCGAAGGGGGACACCCUUCGGGGUUGUCCCUAAAGGGAAUGGCUUCCACUUCGAUUAUCCCGUACGGUGGCCCAAAGGGCUCCCAAAGUAACAACAGCCCUUUGAGGACCACCGCACGGGGGUAACGACCAGACAGGGAAGUGCCAGAAAGCAGGUAAAAGAAGAGAUGCAAGCGACCCCUGAUGCAGUUCACAUACUCACCCCGAGAUGACAGCCGCCGCGUAGCCACCCUGUCCCGCAACCAUGGCAACCUGACCGGAAACCCUUGACGCCGGCACGACUUGCUCGGCCCCAUGUACCGUACCGUCGGCUGGGUCCAACAGCUGCGUGCCACCAACGGGGUUGGAAAGUCAGUAUUUGAUGGUGAUGGUCGUCCUUUCGCAGGGCCUAAAGACAUGUCCGUCUAGAGAAACGCACGUGGAUGUCCUCAUGGACAGGAUCUCAUGGACGGGCUGCGUCCAUGUGGAUUCGUGAGUUGCCUCGGCAUACGUUAAAAGCACGCGUACAAGGGGGCGCCAAACCUGUCCAAAGGCUUAGAGCCCCCAAGGAAACCUGAUGACAGCCCCCAUAGUUUAACGAUCGCCAAUAAGUAGCUUCCCCUAUGCGCACGUGAGUGCGCGCCCUCCCACAGAUGUGAACCUGGCGAGGAGGCAUCCAUCUUUCCAAGGCCCGUACCCUGCAAGUUGACCCCUACCUGAAGCUCCCCGUCUUGCAACAAGAGCAUCUUUUCGGAGGAAGCAUCCGUCGAUGGGACUCCAGCUAGUGUUGGAACUGCUGUACUUGCCGCUUUGCGCUGCCAAAGCAAAUUGCCCUCCAGAUCGAAAGCCCUUAGGUAGCCAUCCAACGCUGUGACAAACGUUUGUGAUUUUGGAAGCACGACUGCAGACGGGGAGCCGUCGCUGACAUCCCCUAGCGCCUUACGCCAAGCAAGGCUGCCGUCGCGUAAGUUCAAGCAGCCGACUACUGUCUGUGCCGUGGCGACGCACACGCGUGGCUUUGUGGGAUGGAAAGAUGCACUAGAAACUAACCCGAUGUGCUGCCGGUACCAAUCAUAUGUGCCUACUUGGUCCUCAAACAUCGCCGUGGUUCCACGGACAGCCGCCAGGGCCGUUAAUAAAAACAGUAUCAUGUCUAACAUCCGUAAUUUUGUUUGAAAGCUACGUUAAAACAACUACAUGAAGGAAGUAAGAAGACAUUUUCCUAGGCAAAAUAUCAAGGCCUCUUGCUACAUACACACAAUCUCUGUCGUGCAGCUAAUUAGCAGAUGUAAAUAAAGGAUUACAUGCCGUGCAUAGCGAAAAGCAACCCAGACCCCGUUAGCCACCGUUACGCCAACGGUCACCGUUCGUUGUACACGCUCUCGUUGUCAAGACCCCGAGUCCCCGACCGCGCGGCAAGCCCAUUGCCGGCUUCAAAUCCCCCAAGAUGAUAGCCAUAAUGACUUGUCGAUCUUUGUAGUACAUUUGACUUUGGCCUUGCAAGAAUUAUCGGUGGUUGCGGCAACCGCAGUUCUAGACAUCGGGCGUCUGCAAUCAAAACCACAUUAUGGAUUAGACCUUGACAGGCCCGGGAACCCUCCUUCGCUGAUGCAAUUCCGUAAAUUAUGGACGUGUUACGCGUCUGCAUAAACAUCGGUCAGUAUGCGACGGACGGUCCUUCAUACAGCUCCACAUCCACGCUCGGCCUGUUGAUUUUGUGCCGUUUCUUCACACGAUCCGGAAAUAGUCCAACGGGAUGAUGUGCAUACUCGUGCACCAAAGUACUAUCUCAGUCAACGGGGGUGUUGGAACAGCCGGAAGCACAACACAGGAUGCAAACUCGUCACCAGGCGUGUGCCUUAGGUCAUGCGAUCGCUUGUUUACGGUGUCCUGUUAUAAAUAUCACCCAAAUGCGCAGCGGCAUGUGUGUCCGACGAUAUGCUGGUAUAAAAUACAAGAUACACAUACGAAAGUUUUGCAUCUGCGGACCGCGAGCCGAGAGAUGCACAGGACGCAUCUGCCCAGCCUGUCUAUUGAAGUCAACCCGAGAAUAAAACCAUCGCUCAGCGUCUCAGGCAAGAUACGAGCAGCAACAAGCUGCGUAAGCAUAUAGCACGUCAGCGCUGCGGCUGGCAGCUACUACUUUACUCCAAGACUUAAGUAAGGGUAGGGCUCCGGAGCGCUGCGAGAUGGCAGCGUAGCAGCUUGGCAGCAAAACGGCUUUGGAAAAUGGUGUAGCAAAAGCAACACGCACACGCUGCGAAAUGGCAGUAAACGUGCUUUGCGAAUAUAGAUCAUGUGCACAUGCACGCUGCGAAGUGGCAGCAAACCUAUUUUCGGGACGUUAGCAUGCGGCAUGUGGAUCUCGCGCGAACACGCGCGAGAAGGCAUCAAAUCCGUCCUCUCCAACGGGCUUUGUGUGAACCAUGCGUUGCGACGUGCAAUCUAUCGGUACGGAACGGUACGUAUAAGUACGUCAAAAGCGUAUAAAACAAGAACAGUGCUGGCCUUGCGUGGUUAGCGCACCCAGGCGCACUAAGACAUGCAACCUGUGCGUCAAGCAUCGUCAGAGAACCCAACCCAAAGGGGAAACCAGCUAAAAUCUCCUGAGCAUCGUCUCUAAUUGCCGUCCUCCUUGUGCUCAGCACGUUGACGCACGCUCAAGCGCUGGCUGUCAGACAGCUGCUGGCGGCUGCUUGGCGCCUUGCGGAGGUGGUCUGGUAUGCGGUGGAGGUCCCGACACAGGCGACCUGGGCGGCCGGGGUUGCCUCGGCUGGGACGGUGGCCGGCUAGGGCUGCGCGGUGUUCUAGGUAGCGUUGGGGUGCGUGGAGGUGGCUUUGGGGGCCGGGGGCUGGGCGAAGGUGGCCUUGGUAACCGGGGGCUGGGCAGCGGAGGCUUCGGAGAUCGUGGGAUAUUCGGCGGUGGUUUCGGAGGGCGAGGUGGACUUCUCGGUGGCUUCAUUGCGGCAGAGGGACUGGGCGUCUUCCUACUUUCAUUUUGCGGCACAGGGCGUGCUGGCACGGGGCUGGGUGGGUCUGGACUCUGUGGUGCAGGGCUGGGCGGCUCUGGACUGGGUGGGCCAGGGCUGGGUGGCUGCGGCGGUCCUGGGCUGGGAGGCAGUGGGUUCGGCGGGUUUGGCCAGGAUGGUGCAGGGCUGGGAGCCGCGGGGUAGGGAGACGGAGGCGCGGCUGGAGAGGGUGGUAAGGCAGGCGGCGGUCUUGGGGGUGGCAGUGGCGGCGGCGGCAGGAGCCCGAAUCCGACGCACACAGCCCUCGCCGGCGCCGUACAGGAUCCCGUGAUAUUGCUGACGUAUCCAGACACGUUCUUGCCGAGAGUGCACCCCCAGAUGGAGGUUGCGUUAAAGGGGCAGGAGACGUUCCAAAUCCAUACCGAUUGAUUGAGGCCAGGAUCGCCGUACAGCCGAGGCCGGCAGUUGAUGUUACUGCCGCAGAUGAGACUCGAACCCGGGUUGGCGAGGUUAUUCACGUAGCCACCGGAGUAUCCCAAACCGCGGCAGACAGCGGCUGCGGCACGAUUGUCCCAGUCGCCCGCGCACACGGCCCCCCAUUGGCCAUUCAGGCAAACCUGCAGGCAAAGGUAAAGGGGAGGGGUAUGUUCGGCCUUUUGGCGAACACUACUAGGCAUGGUGAACGAUGCAUGGCAGCUUACCCAGGGGUGCAUCACGUCCCGGUAUUGAGCCCCCGCCAACAUGUACUGUGCACGCAUUGGCGUGCCCCGGAACCGACGUCGCUCCUUAAAAGCCGUUACCCAUAUAGCCUCCACACCCUCACAUAUUCGCAAACAUAAUUCCCCAAGGAAACGGCCAACCAGAAUGUAUCAAUGCUGCUGCUAUAAUGGAUCUCAAACCCAUGUCCCGCUAUAAUCAACAUCAUCGCACUCACGUACCUCAACCCGACCCAUGCCCGGAGAGCUGCCGUUGACCAGCCGGACUUCCGCGUUGUUGGAGCAGUUGUACGGCGGGGCCGUCAGCACCGGCGUGGCCACCACCGCGCUCCUAGACGGCCAACAAACCAAGCCAACGUCCAGAAAGUGCCCAAUGAUGGAGGCGGCACAUGUUGUGCUGAUCCUGGCCCACGCCUCGUUCGGCACACAGUCCACCAGUCGGCUCUCAUUCCCGUAGCAAAGAUUCCGAAAGGCCGUGGGCUCAAGCCAUUUGGGGACGCUCUCAGCGGCAGGUUGGAAACGUGGGAAAGCCCCGGACCCCCCGUACGACGUCAUGGGGACGCCGUACGCGGUAGGGACACCCAAAAUCUGGCGGCAGGCCAUGGUAGUCAGCACGUCGUCCCAACUCGGAUUGCAAAUAGUUCCCCAGAUUCCUGAGGGAAGGAAACAAUUACGUAUUUGUUUCCUUCAUUUUUGUUUUUGACAUAAAAUGUCAAAUAAAAUGUCAAAAACAAUUUGAGAUUGUUUGUGGUCCAAACAACACCUUGGAAUAUCAGUUAAACUGUGAAUGCAUUAACGGUCGUAUGGGAUUGCUAACAUGACAUCUCUUAACACAUUCAAAAAGCACAGCUAGGAGGCGGCGACGUAAUCUCAAAGCCAGGGGCCCACGUACCGUUGUAGCAGAUUUCAAGCCGGCCCGCAUUAGGGUUCGGUCCGUCUACCAGGCGCAGUGCGCCCACCUCCGUACACAUGUACGAUAGGCCGGGAGUUAGCGGAGAAGGCGGAGGGUUUGGUGGACGAGGGGGAGCUGGCGGUUGCUGUGGAAGGGAAGGAGUGGUUGAGGGGAGAGAAGGUGGCGGAGACGGAGGAGCCCGUGGCGGGGGCGGUGAUGGAGCUGGGGGUGGAGGGAUGUAUUGCUUCGAGCACCUGUACGGAUGAGCGGAUGCAUGGGCAAAGGAACGAGUUACUAUAUGCAUCUGUAACGGACGCGGCAGGUGGGCCACACAUGGACGUUUUCCUGAUGCACGUGCCGUACCUUACAGUCACGUCCGCCAGGUGUGCCGUACACAUGGCCGCGCUCGUCAGCGUAUUCUGAAGGACGCCCACGU